rnacentral:rRNA from 1 species
AUGAACUAUCUUGUUUGGAACUGUCGGGGCGUGGGAAACCGCCGGACAGUUCGUGACUUACUAGCCCUGGUUAGGGCUAAUUCACCCCGACUCGUCUUUCUCUGUGAGACGAGACAGACUGCUGUAAAAGUAGAGAAACUGUGAUGGAGACUUGGGCUCCGUGGCUUCCGAGGUGUUGAUUCAGUUGGGAAAGGAGGUGGACUUGGUCUGUUUUGGGAUGAGCCGUUGCAGGUGACAGUUCUGGAGGCUUGUGCAAGAUUCAUAGAUGUACAGGUAUUUGAUCCGGGAUAG